rnacentral:rRNA from 1 species
GAUGAACGCUAGCGGCAGGCCUAACACAUGCAAGUCGAGGGGUAGAGGAAGCUUGCUUCCUUGAGACCGGCGCACGGGUGCGUAACGCGUAUGCAAUCUGCCUUGUACUGAGGGAUAGCCCAGAGAAAUUUGGAUUAAUACCUCAUAGCAUUAUGAAAUCGCAUGGUUUUAUAAUUAAAGUUCCAACGGUACAAGAUGAGCAUGCGUCCCAUUAGUUAGUUGGUAAGGUAACGGCUUACCAAGACGAUGAUGGGUAGGGGUCCUGAGAGGGAGAUCCCCCACACUGGUACUGAGACACGGACCAGACUCCUACGGGAGGCAGCAGUGAGGAAUACUGGUCAAUGGACGCAAGUCUGAACCAGCCAUGCCGCGUGCAGGAUGAAGCAUCUAUGGUGUGUAAACUGCUUUUGUACGGGAAGAAACACUCCUACGUGUAGGAGCUUGACGGUACCGUAAGAAUAAGGAUCGGCUAACUCCGUGCCAGCCGCCGCAGUAACAC